UCUCGCGCCGCUCUGAGGGGAGGUGGCGGGGCCGGGGCGCCGCCGGGGAUGGCGUCCGUCCUCUCGUCCGUCCUCUCGUCCCCGGGGCUGAGGAGCGCUGCCCAACCCCCGGGAGCGCGGUGAGGAUCAGUCCUGCGGCCCGGGCAGCCCUCAGCUGCGGGUGAUUAAUGGCGCCGCUGCUGUCCCUGGGCACCCACAGCUCCCUCCCCCGCUGCCCGUCCGGCCAGGGCAGCCGCUUGUCACAGGAACGGUAACUGAGGGGCCGAGUCCUGGGCCGCGAUAAACGGGACACAGAAUGGAAAAUGUGAAGUCCGCUCACAGGGUUCUAUGUACUAACUAGCGUGCUGUGCCUGGAACGUUAGGUGCUCGGGAAAGUAUGGGACGAAUGUUAGAAACAAGAGUGGAACCUUCUCCAUGAGGAAAAAGAGAACAGGUAGUAUCAAUAUUACAUACUGGCAAGGCAGUGGUAGCAGCAUUAUCGAGCAAAAAACCUGAAUCUCUGCAUCAGUUGAAACUACAAUUUCAGCUGUAUAAAUACAGCAUCCAAAAUACAAUCCUUCUUCAUAACAUAAUGCGGUGAUAUUACAUAUGCACAAUAGAAGCACAGGAAGUUAGAUAAAUCUCAUUUUCAUCUUUUUCACAUACUUAAGAAUGGCAACGGUCGUCAAUUUUACUAGGAGGAGGAGGUCAAGAUGGAAGGAAGGUUUUGGCUAAGGUUUAGAACUUGCCACUGACACGUUGUUGUAAUAUACAGACAGCUACUAACUUGAUCACAACUAAUCUAUUGCCCAAAGGUGAACAAUGCAACAAUAGCGACAAAGUUUGUUUUAUUGUAGGGUGCUGAAGGAACUUGGAAUAAUUGUGACAGAUGUGGAGAAGAAGUGUGGAAAGAAUUAAAAACUGAUAUAAGGGGGCACAGAUUGAAUGGGGGGAAAACAUGAGAAGGAAAAAUACCACUAAAGAAGAACAGAAAGCACAGCCACCCCCAACCAGCAAAGAUAAAAUCUACAAAGAACAGGGAAAAAAACAAUUAUUAAGACCUGAUCUCUGGCACUUGAUAGCUGAUGGUUGCUGAACCUCCAUGGAUUGACACACAAAGCCUACCACACACACACACACAAAAAAAACCAAAACCAAAAAAAACCCAAACAAACUUGAUUUCAUAGACAUAGGUGAAAAAGAAGCCAAAUUAUCAGUUUAACUAGUGGAAAUCAAGGAAUAGUAAUCUCCAGCACACGGACUAGUGGAGACAAGGAGGCUGGAAAUAGGAUAACAAGACCAGUCAUCUCAGGAUCAGUUCCUGGAUCAAGAAGACUUGGGUCUGACCAUACCUCAAUAUCUUAGGACUUUGUCAUUCAGACUGAUUAAAAUAAAAGGAAGCAAACAGAA